AAGCCAUGCGAGUCUAAAGGACUUCGGUCCUUGGCGGACGGCUCAGUAACACGUGGAGAACCUGCCCUCAGGAGGGGGAUAACCCCGGGAAACUGGGAAUAAUACCCCAUAGGUCUAGGAUGCUGGAAUGCUUCUAGGCUGAAAGCUCCGGCGCCUGAGGAUGGCUCUGCGGCUUAUCAGGUUGUAGUGAGGGUAACGUCCUCACUAGCCUAUGACGGGUACGGGCCCUGAGAGGGGAAGCCCGGAGAUGGACUCUGAGACACGAGUCCAGGCCCUACGGGGCGCAGCAGGCGCGAAAACUCCGCAAUGCUCGAAAGAGUGACGGGGGGAUUCCAAGUGCCUACGCUCAGCGUAGGCUGUUCAGAUGCCUAAAAAGCAUCUGGAGUAAGGGCUGGGUAAGACGGGUGCCAUCUGUGGCAGCAGCCGAAAAUUUGGCUUGCUACUGCAAGGCAUAAGCCGCCGCGGUAAUACCCGCAGCUCGAGUGGUAGUCGAUUUUAUUGGGCCUAAAGCGUCCGUAUCCGGUCUGGUAAAUGCUUGGGUAAAUCGUCUGGCUUAACCAGAUGAAUUCCGGGUAGACUACCAGACUUGGGACCGGUUGAGGAAGAGGGUACUUCAGGGGUAGGAGUGAAAUCCUGUAAUCCUUGAAGGACCACCAGUGGCG
rnacentral:rRNA from 1 species